GGGGAUGUAGCUCAGUGGUAGAGCAUUUGCCUAGCAUGAAGGAGGCCCUGGGCUCCAUCCCCA
rnacentral:tRNA from 1 species